rnacentral:lncRNA from 1 species
CUUUGUUCAUCAAAGGUUCAUGAAAUGUAUGUGACGAGAUUGAGGAAGAAAUUGGAGUUGGAGGAAAUAAUGCACAAAGAAACUAGACAUGUCAACAACAAAACAAUAAUGCCAACAUUCUCAAAAGCAACAACAAAAAUGUUUUAAAAAAGGAAAUAGACAUCACACUUAGAGUAUAGAAAUACUUGGAUUGUAACCAUGAAAAACGAAAUAAGAUAUCCAACAUCCUCAUCACAAUGGAUUCUCCUCUGAUUCAUUACUAGCCUCUGCAAUGUAAUAACACGAUUAAAAGUUAUUGUAGCAGUAACUCUUAUAAAUAUUAAAAAACUAACUUGUAAAUACAUCGAUCAUGUCUAAAUCUAAUCUAAGUCAAGGUUGAUCUAAACAUGAAAAUUCUAACAAAUUCAUCUCAAUUCAGUCCAACUAAACCUAAACUAAAUUGACACAAAAAUCUAUUUAUAUAAUUUACUUUUAAUUUAUAUAUAACUUUACUUAUGAUUUAAAUUUAUACAUUUAAUAUUGAACAAAUAGUCAAAUUAAAAAAUUUUGGUAAUUAUGAACAAUAACUUAAGACAUAGGUAAUUAAAGAAAAUACUAAUAUAUAUUUAUAUUUAUAUAUAAGGCAAAAUAAUAUAAAGCUAAAAAGUGAGAUAAUGAAGUAAAAUGUUUCUAACCUUAUGCAAUAUUU